CUUCUCGCAUCGUUUUACAUCUUCACUCAGAUCUCUUUCAACUCUUUCCCAUCUCCUGACAUCCCUUCCCAUCAUCGUUUGGCAACUUUGGCAGAGGCUGACAUCAACAAGCAUGCUUGUGAAAACAGUAGUGAUUUUAAUUCCAAAUAUUUCGGAAAAACGAGUUUUUAAAUAAUAAAAAUUACUUCAAUUAUAGGUGAAAAAAAUGCAAAUGCAUUGUGUGGAAGGAAAAAACAUUAUAUUGAACUGGAAAUCCACCAGCGGCAUCGUAAAUCUCCGCAAACCGAUUAAUCCAAACAGUCCGCUUUACCAUACAAUAUGUAAUACAAAUCGUCGGAAGCGUAUCGUUGGUGCUCUCUUGAUAUUUCCCCAUGGCACGACCGCGCAGGCUUGGGAUGUUGGCCACUAGAAAGUUCAUGGCGAUGCCGUCGCAGUUAUUUAAUGUGCUUGUCGACCCAGUCCUUGAAGUUGCAGGGCAUAACGUUGAUAGUUCCAGUACUUUUGAUGGAAUACGGUUCCGAUGAGAAUUCGCAAUGGAAAAAUGACGAUCCGAUCAAAGAGCUUAUACCACAUUUCGUAGCCAAAAUCCAGCACGUCGGCCACAACAAUUUUGAUGUCAUCGAUGUCGAUGGUGAGGAUAGUCCCGGAUUCGAUUUCCUUAGAAUCGGUUGGAGAGUUUGUCAGCCGCAGUUUUGACGAUUUUAAUAUACAAACGGAUGGGUAAAAAGUAGUAAACACGUAAAGUAAAACGGGCGGGAACUUUUGCUGGUUAUGCCAGACGACUUUUAUUUUCAACGAAAGAACCGCUGAGCUUUUAAUUAGCCCAAUUCUAGAGGGAUUUCCACUAAAAUUCCCGAAGAAUUCCGA